GACGUAGGGCGCGAGCGUUGUCCGGAUUUAUUGGGCGUAAAGAGCUCGUAGGCGGCUUGUCGCGUCGACUGUGAAAUCCCGCGGCUCAACCGCGGGUCUGCAGUCGAUACGGGCAGGCUAGAGUUCGGUAGGGGAGACUGGAAUUCCUGGUGUAGCGGUGAAAUGCGCAGAUAUCAGGAGGAACACCGGUGGCGAAGGCGGGUCUCUGGGCCGAUACUGACGUGAGGAGCGAAAGCGUGGGGGAGCGAACAGG
rnacentral:rRNA from 1 species